UACGUAGGGUGCAGGCGUUAACCGGAAUUACUGGGCGUAAAGCGUGCGCAGGCGGUUUCUUAAGUCAGAUGUGAAAGCCCCGGGCUUAACCUGGGAACUGCGUUUGAAACUGGGAGACUUGAGUGUGGCAGAGGGGGGUGGAAUUCCACGUGUAGCAGUGAAAUGCGUAGAUAUGUGGAGGAAUACCGAUGGCGAAGGCAGCCCCCUGGGAUAACACUGACGCUCAUGCACGAAAGCGUGGGGAGCAAACAGG
rnacentral:rRNA from 1 species